ACCUAAUGGUGUGGGCAUUUAUGGAGUAGGUCCCUAAAAUGCUCCCAGGUCUCAAAGAAAAUUCCCUAUCUGUUUGUGUGAAACUCGUGAUUGCCCUUUGUAGCU